AUUGAACGCUGGCGGCAGGCUUAACACUUGCAAGUCGAGCGGAGAUGAGGUGCUUGCACCUUAUCUUAGCGGCGGACGGGUGAGUAAUGCUUAGGAAUCUGCCUAUUAGUGGGGGACAACAUUCCGAAAGGAAUGCCAAUACCGCAUACGCCCUACGGGGGAAAGCAGGGGAUCUUCGGACCUUGCGCUAAUAGAUGAGCCUAAGUCGGAUUAGCUAGUUGGUGGGGUAAAGGCCUACCAAGGCGACGAUCUGUAGCGGGUCUGAGAGGAUGAUCCGCCACACUGGGACUGAGACACGGCCCAGACUCCUACGGGAGGCAGCAGUGGGGAAUAUUGGACAAUGGGCGGAAGCCUGAUCCAGCCAUGCCGCGUGUGUGAAGAAGGCCUUUUGGUUGUAAAGCACUUUAAGCGAGGAGGAGGCUACCUGGAUUAAUACUCUAGGAUAGUGGACGUUACUCGCAGAAUAAGCACCGGCUAACUCUGUGCCAGCCGCCGCCGUAAAAC
rnacentral:rRNA from 1 species